rnacentral:tRNA from 1 species
GCCUGUGUGACUCAGUGGUUGAGCGCCUGCCUUCCACUCAGGUCAUGAUCCUGGGAUGCAGGAUCGAGUCCCGCAUCAGGCU